GACGAACGCUGGCGGCGUGCCUAAUACAUGCAAGUCGAGCGAAUCAAUAGGAGCUUGCUCCUGUUGGUUAGCGGCGGACGGGUGAGUAACACGUGGGCAACCUGCCUGUAAGACUGGGAUAACUUCGGGAAACCGGAACUAAUACCGGAUACUCCUUUUCCACUCAUGUGGGAAAGCUGAAAGUCGGUUUCGGCUGACACUUACAGAUGUGCCCGCGGCGCAUUAGCUAGUCGGUGAGGUAAGUGCUCACCAAGGCGACGAUGCGUAGCCGACCUGAGAGGGUGAUCGGCCACACUGGGACUGAGACACGGCCCAGACUCCUACGGGAGGCAGCAGUAGGGAAUCUUCCGCAAUGGACGAAAGUCUGACGGAGCAACGCCGCGUGAGCGAUGAAGGCCUUCGGGUCGUAAAGCUCUGUUGUUAGGGAAGAAUAAUGAUCGGAGUAACUGCCGGUACCUUGACGGUACCUAACCAGAAAGCCACGGCUAACUACGUGCCAGCAGCCGCCGUAA
rnacentral:rRNA from 1 species